GUGGGGUUCGGGGUCCAGCGCUAGGUCGAAAGUGUUCCCUGCAGCUAUCGUGGUUCGUCUGCUAAACUGCAUCGUCGCUGUGUCCCAGAACAUGAGCAUCGGCAAGAACGGGAACCUGCCCUAGCCUCCACUCAGAAAUGAAUUCAGGUAUUUCCAAAGAAUGACUACAGUGUCUUCAGUAGAAGGUAGACAGAAUUCGGUGAUUAUGGGUAGGAAGACCUGGUUCUCCAUUCCAGAGAAGAAUCGACCUUUAAAGGACAGAAUUAGUAUAGUUCUCAGUAGAGAACUCAAGGAACCUCCAAAGGGAGCUCAUUUUCUUGCCAAAAGUCUGGAUGAUGCCUUAGAACUUAUUGAAGAUCCAGAAUUAACAAAUAAAGUAGACGUGGUUUGGAUAGUGGGAGGCAGUUCUGUUUAUAAGGAAGCCAUGAACAAGCCAGGCCAUCUUAGACUAUUUGUGACAAGGAUCAUGCAAGAAUUUGAAAGUGAUACGUUUUCCCCAGAAAUUGAUUUUGAAAAAUAUAAACUUCUUCCAGAAUACCCAGGUGUUCCCCUUGGAUGUCCAGGAGGAAAAAGGCAUUAAGUACAAAUUUGAAGUAUAUGAAAAGAACAAUUAAUGUGAAAAUGUUUUCCGAUCUAUUAGAAGCCUUUCUCCCCCCCCAAAAAACUAUAUAUUUCUUGUUGUAGAGACUUUGUUCACUUUAGAUCUAUUACUUCUAAUCAAUGUACUUUUAUUCG